AAAGAAUUGAAUGAAGCUCAUCUGAGGCAACUACUGAAAGUCUGUCGUAGGUUGUUCUUGAUGACAUACACAGUCGAGAUGAGAUGACAUUUGAAGAAAUGUUACAACCAGGUGUUCGCUGUACGCUACAUUUUUUUAAGACCAAGAUAUACAACCAAAAAUAGAUUGAUAACACACCAAGACGACUUUGGAGGACCAAAUGUUCCAUUUGAAACGCUGCAGGAUUUAGAAAGAUAAUGACGAUGUUCGAAUGCUUAUACAAUAUAGUACGUCGACUUGCAUGCCAGAAGAUACGGUACGUCUUCAUUUUCCCAUAGCCGACAUGAAAAUUUAACUGUCAAGCAGAAAAACCGAACAAAUUUAUCUGACAAGCCAAAAUUUCAAUCGACAAUUUACCAAUUCCGCCAAUCUAAAUCUAUCACACACCAACCUUUAUACUUUCGCUAUUUAAAUAUUGUGA
rnacentral:lncRNA from 1 species